ACCUGGAGCUUGUCUGGCUCGGGACGACGCUGGCGGCGUGCCUAAUACAUGUUUGUCGAGCGGAUUGAUGGGAGCUUGCUCCCUGAUAUCAGCGGCGGACGGGUGAGUAACACGUGGGCAACCUGCCUAUAAGACUGGGAUAACUUCGGGAAACCGGAGCUAAUACCGGAUAAUCCCUUUCCUCUCAUGAGGAAAGGCUGAAAGAUGGUUUACGCUAUCACUUAUAGAUGGGCCCGCGGCGCAUUAGCUAGUUGGUGAGGUAACGGCUCACCAAGGCAACGAUGCGUAGCCGACCUGAGAGGGUGAUCGGCCACACUGGGACUGAGACACGGCCCAGACUCCUACGGGAGGCAGCAGUAGGGAAUCUUCCGCAAUGGACGAAAGUCUGACGGAGCAACGCCGCGUGAGUGAUGAANGUUUUCGGAUCGUAAAACUCUGUUGUUAGGGAAGAACAAGUACGAGAGUAACUGCUCGUACCUUGACGGUACCUAACCAGAAAGGCACGG
rnacentral:rRNA from 1 species